CUUCUUAACAUAAUUUUUUGCCCAGACAAAGUCCCGCAACCGACUGAAAACGAGUUUGUGACUCACUUUUGGGUCGCGACCCACCAGUUGACAAUCACUGCUGCAAAUGACAUAAAUAUAGUGG